UACAGAGGGUGCUAGCGUUGUUCGGAAUCAUUGGGCGUAAAGGGCGUGUAGGCGGUUUGUUAAGUCAUGUGUGAAAUCCCUCGGCUCAACCGGGGAAGGACGUAUGAAACUGGCAAGCUAGAGUACCAAAGAGGGGGGUGGAAUUCCCGGUGUAGUGGUGAAAUUCGUAGAUAUUCGCAAGAACACCAGUGGCGAAGGCGGCUUACUGGUCCGGAUCUGACGCUGAGGCGCGAAAGCGUGGGGAGCAAACAGG
rnacentral:rRNA from 1 species